UCAGACAGUAAAACCUCAUCUUAUGUGUGUUCUUUCAGCUGCUACAGUAUCACCAUAUUGCACCACGGACAUCAAGAGUGAAAUCCUGCUGGGUGAGGAGUUGACAUCACCAUGAAUCCUGUCUGGUUUCUAAUAAACAAUAAACACCAUCUGAAGAAAACAAGCUGCAUUACUGCAAACAUUUAUCUUAACCAACAAUCUUCACACGGUCAACUUCCUCAGUCGUCAUUUUCUUCUUUUCAGGUGUGAAAGACGUCAGUGUCACAAAUGCCCCCUGUGACUGGACACAGUGUGAACACCAGACUCAACAUGAGAUUAAUACAGUUUGUUUGUUGCAGCGUUAGAUUGGAUCAAUGAACGCAGAAACAUUUAACUAUGAGAGAAAACUACGUUU